rnacentral:rRNA from 8 species
UGCAAGUCGAACGGAAUCCUUAGGGAUUUAGUGGCGGACGGGUGAGUAACACGUAAGAACCUGCCUCUAGGACGGGGACAACAGUUGGAAACGACUGCUAAACCCGGAUGAGCCGAAAGGUAAAAGAUUAAUCGCCUAGAGAGGGGCUUGCGUCUGAUUAGCUAGUUGGUGAGGUAAGAGCCCACCAAGGCGACGAUCAGUAGCUGGUCUGAGAGGAUGAUCAGCCACACUGGGACUGAGACACGGCCCAGACUCCUACGGGAGGCAGCAGUGGGGAAUUUUCCGCAAUGGGCGAAAGCCUGACGGAGCAAGACCGCGUGGGGGAGGAAGGUUCUUGGAUUGUCAACCCCUUUUCUCAGGGAAGAACACAAUGACGGUACCUGAGGAAAAAGCAUCGGCUAACUCCGUGCCAGCAGCCGCGGUAAUACGGGGGAUGCAAGCGUUAUCCGGAAUGAUUGGGCGUAAAGAGUCCGUAGGUAGUCAUCCAAGUCUGCUGUUAAAGAGCGAGGCUUAACCUCGUAAAGGCAGUGGAAACUGGAAGACUAGAGUGUAGUAGGGGCAGAGGGAAUUCCUGGUGUAGCGGUGAAAUGCGUAGAGAUCAGGAAGAACACCGGUGGCGAAGGCGCUCUGCUGGGCUAUAACUGACACUGAGGGACGAAAGCUAGGGGAGCGAAUGGGAUUAGAUACCCCAGUAGUCCUAGCGGUAAACGAUGGAAACUAGGUGUGGCCUGUAUCGACCCGGGCCGUGCCGAAGCAAACGCGUUAAGUUUCCCGCCUGGGGAGUACGCACGCAAGUGUGAAACUCAAAGGAAUUGACGGGGGCCCGCACAAGCGGUGGAGUAUGUGGUUUAAUUCGAUGCAACGCGAAGAACCUUACCAGGACUUGACAUCUCUGGAAUCUCCUUGAAAGGGGAGAGUGCCGUAAGGAACCGGAAGACAGGUGCUGCAUGGCUGUCGUCAGCUCGUGUCGUGAGAUGUUGGGUUAAGUCCCGCAACGAGCGCAACCCUCGUCGUUAGUUGCCAUCAUUAAGUUGGGAACUCUAGCGAGACUGCCGGUGACAAACCGGAGGAAGGUGAGGAUGACGUCAAGUCAGCAUGGCCCUUACGUCCUGGGCGACACACGUACUACAAUGCGAGGGACACAGAGCAGCCAACCCGCGAGGGAGAGCGAAUCUCACAAACCCUGGCACAGUUCAGAUUGCAGGCUGCAACUCGCCUGCAUGAAGGAGGAAUCGCUAGUAAUCGCAGGUCAGCAUACUGCGGUGAAUCCGUUCCCGGGCCUUGUACACACCGCCCGUCACACCAUGGAAGUGAGCCACGCCCGAAGUCAUUACUCUAACCCUUUCGGGGGAGGAGGGUGCCGAAGGCGGGGUUGAUGACUGGGGU